UACUUUUGUUCCCUGGGGUGAAAAGUGACUAAUGCAUAGGUGAGCAAAAGGUUCAAUUUUGAGGGCAGUUCCAUAGAUGGGAGAGAAAAUGAAACUAUUAGCAUGUGGUAAGGCAGACAAGGUAAGUGAGUGGAUUCAGGGAAUCUAAUUCUCUCAGACAUGUUUCCUUGAUUUUCAUGAAUCUAGUGACAUUCCCUGAUUACUCCAUUGGGCUGGAAACUACAAUCACUGGUGACUGGAGAGAAGCAACACCUGAAGAAGGAAGUGUACUAGUGGGGAAUCAAAGGAAACAAAGUUUUGACAGGAUAUUUGGAUUCCAAGCCAAAGGAAGAGUGAGAGUAACAACCCCCAAAGACAUUUUCAAAAGAAUUCUGGUCAUCUAAUUUCAAAAUAAUUUUUAAAAAUUGAAAGAGUGAUGAAGAGGAUGAUUUCAGAAAGAGUUGGAAAUAUCUUCAUGAACAUAUGCAGAGUGAACUAAGCAGAACAAAGAGCACAUUAUACACAGAACUGCCCUAUCAAGUAAUGCUCAAAUGUGAUAGACUAUGCAACUAACAACAACACAAUGAUUCAGUACAAUUCUGAGGGACUUAAGAAAAAGAAUGCUAUCCCCCUUUGGAGAAGGAACUGUUGGGGGUAGAAAUGCAUAUGAAAACAUAUAAUUUAUCACUUAUUUAUUUUGGUAUAUAUUUUGGGUUUUUGGCUUUAUGAGAUUAUUAAUUUAUAAAAAUGAUUAAUAUGGAAAUGAAAUUGUGUGAUAAUAUAUGUAUAAUUUACAAAAAUAAAAAUUGUUAAGCACAAAAAUUAAUAUAAUUA
rnacentral:lncRNA from 1 species